CGCUGGGUGUGGUGGCUCACUCCUGUAAUCCCAACACCUUGGGAGGCCAAGGUGGGCAGAUCACUUGAGUCCAGGAACUCAACACCAGCCUGGGCAACAUGGCAAAGCCCUGUCUCUAGAAAAAAUGCAAAAAUUAGCCAGGCAUGGUGGCACAUGCUUGUAGUCCCAGCUAUUCGGGAGGCUGAGGUAGGAGGAUUGCUUGAGCCCAGGAGGAGGAGGUUGCAGUGAGCAUUGAUCAUGCCACUGCACUCCAGCCUGGGCAAUAGAGUGAGAUAAUACUCGAUAGGUAGUUUUUCCACCUUCACUCUCCUUCCAUCCUCCACCCUCAGGUAGGCCCCGGUGUCUGUUUUUCGUUUUUUUUGUGUCUAUGGGUACUCAAUGUUUAACUCCCACUAAUAAGGGAGAAUAUGUGAUAUUUGGUUUUCU
rnacentral:lncRNA from 1 species